UUAAUUUACCUCUUUAUUGGCACUUUUUUAAAAAAAGCCAGAGAAUAUAAAGCAGGCAGAAGAACGUGAAGAGAGGAGACAGGCUUAGCCUCGUAGCCUCCGUCUUUCUCCCAUGCUGGAUGCUUCCUGCCCUGGAACAUCGGACUUCAAGCUCUUCAGUUUUGGGACUUGGACUGGUUCUCCUUGCUCCUCAGCUUGCAGACAGCCUAUUGUGGGACCUUGUGAUUGUGUAAGUUAAUAUUUAAUAACAUAUAUAUAUAUUCUAUUAAUUCUGUCCCUCUAAGAGAACCCUAACAAAUACAAUGGUGAAACCCUGUCUGUACUAAAAAUACAAAAACUAGUUGGGCGUGGUGGUAGGCACCUGUAAUCCCAGCUGCUUGGGAGGCUGAGGCAUUAGAAUUGCUUGAACCCAGGAGGUGGAGGUUGCGGUGAGUCGAGAUCGCACCACUGCACUCCAGCCUGGGGACAGAGCAAGACCGUGUCUCAAAAAAAAAAUACUUUUUUGUAUAUAUUAUGUAUAUGUAUAUAUUAUCUUGAUACCUAUUGCAUUUCCUUUCCUUCUCUUGAGAUCCCUAUAAUGAGUAAAAGUGACAGAUUCCUACAGUCUGUGGAAGGGGAUCAGAAUAUGCCACCCCAAAAUAUACUAGUUUGGCAUUAGGAUUAUUUUCAGCUGAAGGCAAUUAAGAAAUAGCAGGCUCAGGAGAAACUCUCUGCCCUCCCCCUUUCUUCUGAAAGCAGAGCAUAGAGUUCCCUUUUGUAAAAGUAACAUAAAUUCCCGUUUGUAAAAGUGUCUCCCUCUCCCAUACCAGGAAGAGAAGACUAUUAAUCACCUGACGUGACUCUUCUCACUUCAGUCUGCACCCAACUUGAGUCUGCAUAACAAACCUUACUAAAAAAUUCUUCUCUACAAUUAGUUCCCCCAUAUAUUUACCUUCCCAAAAUUUGUUUCCACUGGGAACCCAAGCCCCUUUUCCUUUGUGUAGUUACUUCUCCACAAUUUAUUGCCCUUUAUUAAAACAACAUUUAGGCCCUGGGUCCAACCACUUGUUUGGGUUUUCACUUGUUUUCUGUGUAAUUCUUGCACAUAAAAUUAAAAACAUUCAGUAAGUUUGCAAGCCUUUUUUUCUCCUGUUAAUCUCUCUUUUGUCAGUUUAAUCCAUAGGCUUCAGGCACAGAACAUAAAAGAAUAGAGAAAAAGUUUUGCCUCACCUACACUAUUAACCAAGCUUCUCCACAAAGAAGGCAACCACAAGUAUGCAGGGCUACAGUUGCAAGCAGAUCCCCCUAAGCGGCCAGUUACUUUUCCUCUGUGGGGAGGGCAAAGGCUUUUCUUAUUUACAUCUGCACAAACAAGAACCAUAGCUUCAGUGUGCCUUCAGGAAAACUCAAAAGAAAACCAACCAAACAAAAAUAAAUAUCUGCAGGUAUAUGACUCUGAGAGUAUAAAACUGGACAGAGGCUGUGGGUCACUACUUUCUCCCUACCCACUCCAAAGAUGUUUCAAGGUUCCAUCCCAUAGAAUUCCUUAAACAAAGAAAUAACCGUAGAAACCUGCAAGCCCAGAUCUCUCCAUCACCCUUUGAGGCUUUCACAGACUUUCCAGCACAAACAGUGGAAGACCAGCUCCUUUCCCAGGCUUCUAGCCUUUAAACUGGAAGACAGUCAAACUCCAAUUGUCUACCAGGCCUUUUUUUUCUGGACAACACCUCUGGCACCCAGACCAGGCCUUUCAGACUCUUCUGAAAGACAAUAACUAGGUUCUAGCAGUUUCUGGCAGGCAAACACGCAUGAUUUACAGAACCAUAUUUUCAAAAAACAAACAAAAAGUAGAAGCAGAAACAAGAAGUAAGAUUUUCGAGUUCUUAAGAAAUGAGAAAAUAUUACCAGACAAUUUAGAAACAUUCAGAUGUCAAAACUCUUCAUAGUGGUGUGGUGUGGCGGCUCAUGUCUGUAAUCCCAGCCCUUUGAGAGGCUGAGGCAAGAGAAUCUCUUGAGCCUAGGAGUUCGAGACCAGCCUGGGAAACAUAGCAAGGUCUCACAUAAUAAAUAAAAGUAAAAAUAACCCAGGGCAUGAUGGCUCACACCUAUAAUCCUGACACUUUGGGAGGCUAAGGCAGGUGGAUCAUGUGAAGCCAGGAGUUCAAGACCAACCUGGUCUGGGCAACAUGGUGAAACCCUAUCUCUACGAAAAAUACAAAAAUUAGCCAAGUGUGGUGGUGCACACCUGUAAUCUCAGCUACUCAGGAGGCUGAGGCAGGAGAAUCGCUUGAACCUGGGAGGUGGAGGUUGCAGUGAGCCGAGAUUGUGCCACCGCACUCCAGCCUGGGCGAGAGAGCAAGACUCUGUCUCAAAAAAAAAAAAAAAAAAAAAGUAAAAAUAAUAAAAUUAGCUUCGUGUAAUGACACAUGCCUGUAGUCCCAGCUGCUCAGGAAGCUGAGUCCAAGUUUGAGGCUGCAGUGAGCCAUGAUGAAGCCACUAUACUUUAGCCUGGGAGAUGGCGAAAGGCCUUGUCUCUGGGGGAAAAAAAAAGAGCGUUCAUAGGCUUUGAGUUAAAAAUUCCAUUUCUAAAAGCUUAUUCUACUGUUGGGGCUCACAAAGUGAUACCCCAAAGUAUGGUGGUGUGGUAUGCUGAAUACUUUGAACUGAAGGGCAUUGAAAGGGCCUCAGAAGCAAAGCUUCUUUCUGACUGUGAAAGUUGCAGAUACCAGGAUGAAAUCACUUUUGUCAGACUCAGACAAAAUAAGGCCAGGAAGGCAUGAAGAAGUGGGGGCUUACGCUUCCAUGUCUGAGAUAAGAACUAUUUCCAAGGACUUUCUGAAAACCCCACAAGAAAUCUUUUCAUGUCCUUCGCACAUCUCUUGCUUUGCACAGCUUGUACUUUUCACGUGGAUUCAUAUAUUUCUAUGACAAGGUUUAUCACUAGACAUUCAUUAGGGCACAGUAAUUCAGAAAAGGUGCUCUCAAAACUUUGAUUAAAUAAAUGUGUUAUGUUUUCUCUUUUUCACACGUCUUUUGUUAUUGAAGGUCUGAUUAUGACCUUUACGAUGGGACAGAAAUGGUAUCACGCCUUUUCACUCCUACAGUUCAGAGGUGUUUGAAGAUGCAUGUUCCCCAAAUUCAUGCCCAAAAAUAUUUACCUUGGCCCCUUGAUCACAAGGAACUGGAAUAGCUAAAGGAUUCACUACAGAUGUAUAGUAGGAGUCAAAUAAACCUCGGCUUUAUCUUUACUCCACUCUACCAACUGUGUACCCUGAACGCCUACCUUUUAUUUCCAGGUUUGCAAAAUUAGGACUAACAAUGCCCAAGGCUGGAUUGCACAAUAGACAGACAUGUUUAGGCACCAGUAAAGCCAGGGCACCAGAAAAUGGCUUUUGAAAAAGUUUGAAGUUUGAUAGAAAAAAAAACCAAAACACCAAAAUAGUCAUAAUUGUCAGAGGCGUUUGAACCAGAGUGACUCCAUCUUAAGUAGGGGCUGGGUAAAAUAAGGGUAAGACCUUUUCGGCUGCAUUCCCAGUAAGUUAGGCAAUCCUAGCUGAUAAAACAGGUUGUGGUAAAGAAGUCGGCCACAUCCCACCAAAACCAAGAUGGCGACAAAAGUGACCUUUCCUCAUUAUACACUCACUGCUCAUUAUACACUAAUUAUAAUGCAUUAGCAUGCUAAAAGACACUGCCACCAGCACCACGACAGUUUACAAAUGCCAUGGCAACAUCAGGGAGUUACUAUAUAUGGUCUAAAAGCAGGAGGAGCCCUCAGUUCCAGGAAUUGCCCACCUCUUUCUUGGAAAAUUCAUGAAUACUCCACACUUUGUUUAGCAUGUGAUCAAGAAAUAACCAUAAAAAUAGCCAACCAGCAGCCCUUGGGACUGCUCUGCCUAUGCAACAGUCAUUCUUUCGUUUCUUUAUUUCUCUAAGAACCUUGCUUUCACUUUAUGGAUUUGCCUUGAAUUCUUUCUUGCACAAAAUCCAAGAAUCCUCUCUUGGGGUCUGGCUCGGGACCCCUUUCCAGUAACACCUUGAGAAACUUACAUUUUCUUAUAUUUAUUUUAUGUAUUUUGUGUUUUUAGUUUAUGAAUAAGAGGUUGACCUUGUGGGGAAGAAAAUUUUUUCCUCUGCUCUUAGGUUUUGUAAUUGGGGGUCUAAAAUUAAACUGACAAAAAACAGAUUCACAAGAGAAAAGAUGAAUUUUAAUCAUGUACAGGCAUUUACAAAGAAAUGCAACUCAAAGAGGUGGAUAGACUUUAGGGCUUUAUACCACCUAAUAGGUGACGCAGAGUGGGAAAAGAGUACUUACCAGGAAAAUAAAUGACUUCUUAGACGAGGGAAGGAAAAAGAGCACUUCUGGAAAAACAAAUGACUUUCAGGAAAGAUAAAUGGGCCCUUAGGAGAACAGAUGGGAGAUAUGACAGUUUUCUGAUAAUGUCUCUUUGGGUGUGCUGGCCAAAUUCUCUCUCAAGAUUAGAGUUGUUCCCAGGGAGGGGAUUUAUGAUAACUGAGUUCUUUUGAGUUCUUUUGGGAGCCUCUGCUUUUAGGAAGAUAAGGGACUUCAGGACCCCAAAUGCUUUCAGCUCACAAAAAUUUUUAUGGCACAAUGGCUUAUUCUGGAUCCCUUCAAUUGUCUCGAAUCUCAGGGCCUCCAAAGUUCUUGAUAAUGAUGAGUGCUCUAGCUGGGUGCGGUGGCUCACGCCUGUAGUCCCAGCACUUUGGGACGCCAAGGUGAGUGGAUCAUGAGGUCAGGAGAUGGAGACCAUCCUGGCUAAUGUGGUGAAACCCCAUCUCUACUAAAAAUACCAAAAAUUAGCCGGACGUGGUGGCACGCACCUGUAGUCCCAGCUUCUCAGGAGGCUGAGGCAGGAGAAUCACUUUGAACCCAGGAGGUGGAGGUUGCAGUGAGCUGAGAUCGCGCCAUUGCACUAUAGCCUGGGCGACAGAGCAAGACUUCAUCUCAAAAAAAAAAAAAAAUUAGCCAGGUGUGGUGGCGCACACCUGUAAUCCCAGCUACUCAGGAGGCUGAGGCAGGAGAAUUGCUUGAACCCGGGAGCCGGAGGUUGCAGUGAGCCGAGAUCUCACCACUGAACUUCAGCCUGGGCGACAGAGCAAGAUUCUCUCUCAGGACAAAAAAAAAAAAAAAAAAAAAAAAAAGAUUGCUGUAGAUGUUGAAGUGUAAAUCCUAUGACUAAUGGAUUGAGCACAGAUAUGCAAAGUCAUUGCAAGAGCCUCAGCUGGCCAGCAGGACUUGACUGCAACCUGAUUUAAAGUAUUAACAUACCUAGGGCCGGGCUCAGUGGUUUGGUGGCUCAUGCCUGUAAUCCCAACACUUUCGGAGGCUGACGUGGGCAGAUUACUUGAGGCCAGGAGUUCCAGAUCAGCCUGGCCAACAUGGCAAAACCCCGUCUCUACUAAAAAUAUAAAAAUCUGCCGGACAUAGUGGUGCACAUCUGUAAUCCCAGCUAUUUGGGAAGGCUGAGGCACAAGAAUCGUUUGAACCAGGGAGGCAGAGGUUGCGGUGAGCCAAGAUCACACCACUGCACUCCAGCCUGGGUGACAGAGCAAUACCCUGUCUCAAAAAAAAAAUUUUUUUAAAUAAGGUAUUAACAUAUCUAAAGAAAGAAUGUGUCACUUGGAAGAACUGCUGAGAUUUCCCCUCCCAAAUAAUUACUGUGCUCCC
rnacentral:lncRNA from 1 species